rnacentral:rRNA from 1 species
AGUCACUGACAUUAGAUACCCGUGUAGUCCCAGCCGUAAACUAUGCGCGUUAGGUGUAUCGGUGACCACGAGUUACCGAGGUGCCGAAGGGAAACCGUGAAACGUGCCGCCUGGGAAGUACGGUCGCAAGGCUGAAACUUAAAGGAAUUGGCGGGGGAGCACCGCAACGGGAGGAGCGUGCGGUUUAAUUGGAUUCAACACCGUAAACUCACCAGGGAAGACUGUUACAUGAAAGCCGAGAUGAAGACUCUGCUAGAUUUUCAG